AUUGAACGCUGGCGGCAGGCCUAACACAUGCAAGUCGAGCGGAAGAAGGGAGCUUGCUCGUGGAUUCAGCGGCGGACGGGGGAGUAAAGCCUAGGAAUCUGCCUGGUUGUGGGGGAUAACGUCCGGAGACGGGCGCGAAUACCGCAGACGUGCGGAGGGAGAGAGUGGGGGGUGUUCGGACGUUACGCUAUCAGAGGAGGCUAGGGCGGAUUAGCUAGUUGGUGGGGGAAAGGCCUACUAAGGCGACGAUCCGUAACUGGUCGGAGAGGAGGGUCAGUCACACUGGAACUGAGACACGGUCCAGAGUCCUACGGGAGGGAGCAGUGUGGAACAUUGGACAACGGGCGAAAACCUGACCCAGCCAUCCCGCGUGUGUUAAGAAAGUCCUCCGAUUGUAAAGCCCUUUAUGUUGGUGGAAACCGCUGUCGCUUAAUACCUUGCUGUUUUGACGUUACCAACAGAAUAAGCACCGGCUAACUACGUG
rnacentral:rRNA from 1 species